GCCUGACACAGUGACUGCCAUAUGAGAAGAGUCCCUAAAAUAGUGAAAUAAAUGAAGAAUUGAAUGAGUGAAGUCCUGUGGGUACCUUAGUAUGGGCAAAGCUGGAAAACAGUGAUGGAGUCUUCCAUAGCAGCAUCCUGAGAAGAUACUCUUGAGGGAGUGAGAGCUCAUUUUGAGGACACCAGCAAACACGGCCUAAGAGGAACUUAAAAGGUGAUAUCACCUGGACUUGCUUUCUCAGAAAACAACUUCGAAAUUUCCUACUUCAAAUCCAGGUUCAUUACAGAAUUUCUUACCACAAUGACUUUCCUGGCAGUUGUCUGCAGUGUUAUCAAGAGAUGACAUGGACUUCAAGGAUCAAACGGGAGAAAAAUGCUUAAAAGAAAAACAAGUCUUCGUCGAAGAUAAUAACCACAAUGAGAAAUAUACAUAGCUAUGUGCUUACAGGUCUUAGUUCACAUUCCCCUCAUUUAAAUUUUAGCU